AUUGAACGCUGGCGGCAUGCUUUACACAUGCAAGUCGAACGGCAGCGCGGGCUUCGGCCUGGCGGCGAGUGGCGCACGGGUGUGUAAUACAUCUGAACGUGCCCAGUAGGGGGGGAUAGCUCGGCGAAAGCCGUAUUAAUACCACAUACUACCUGAGGGUGAAAGCGGGUGAUCUUCGGACCUCGCGCUCGUGGAGGGGCCGAUGGCCGAUUAGCUAGUUGGUGGGGUAAAGGCCUACCAAGGCGACGAUCUGUAGCUGGUCUGAGAGGACGACCAGCCACACUGGGACUGAGACACGGCCCAGACUCCUAAGGGAGGCAGCAGUGGGGAAUUUUGGACAAUGGGCGAAAGCCUGAUCCAGCAAUGCCGCGUGUGUGAUGAAGGCCUUCGGGUUGUAAAGCACUUUUGGCGGGAACGAAAAGGACUGUGCUAAUACCACGGUUCGAUGACGGUACCGGCAGAAUAAGCACCGGCUAACUACGUG
rnacentral:rRNA from 1 species